rnacentral:pre_miRNA from 1 species
UUAACUCAUAUUUGUAUGGAGUUGGCAUGUUUGCCUACGUUUGCCGCUAGGGGCGCUGUUCCAACUCCAUACACAUAUGAGUUA